UACGUAGAGUGCGAGCGUUAAUCGGAAUUACUGGGCGUAAAGCGUGCGCAGGCGGUUCGUUAAGUUCGAUGUGAAAGCCCCGGGCUCAACCUGGGAACUGCAUUGGAAACUGGCGAGCUUGAGUAUGGCAGAGGGGGUGGAAUUCCGCGUGUAGCAGUGAAAUGCGUAGAGAUGCGGAGGAACACCGAUGGCGAAGGCAGCCCCCUGGGCCAAUACUGACGCUCAGGCACGAAAGCGUGGGGAGCAAACGGG
rnacentral:rRNA from 1 species